CUCCCUCGCUUGCUCGCUCACACCACGUUCUCCCCAGCAAGGGGCAAGCCUCGAGCCUAGGGAAGGCAGCAGCACUCAGACUACCCCCACCCGGGCUGGGGCUCUCCCCCGCUCGCCAGAGGCUGCCAAGAAGGAGCGUCCUAGGAACAGGGGAGGGGACACCUGAGUCAGGAGCAGGACACGGAGCAAGCAGGGUCUUGAUGGGAGGGUGAGAUCGAGACAGCGCGGGGCUGACGCAGGCUGAGCGAAGUCGUGAGAAGUCUAGGGGUAGGAGAAGGCUAGGGCCAGGGGCAGGGAGGUGCAGGAAGGGGACACAGAGGAGAGUCCAGACUUGAGAACCACGGAGAGAAGAUUCUAUGAGCGUGAAGAAAACAAACCUAGACUGAGGCCACUGCAAAGGGGUUGUCGAGGUGCAGGCUGGGGCCAUGGAGAGGAGAAGAGUUUGGGGGAAGGGGGCCUAGCCUGGGCCACCGCAGCGAGAAGCACCGUCCUAGCCUGGACCCUGGGACCGAGGCGGAGGAUGCGGAAGGCGCUGAAAGUAGCCGAGGACCGGCCCUCCUCGCCCCACCCGGACCCGGAACUGGUGCGCCGGACGAGGCCCGGCCCUGAAAGAGCGAACGGAACCUACAAGGGGAUGCCGGCCCGGCCGCCCCUGUUGCUGAACGCCUGCUAUCACUACCAGGCUUGCAGCCUUUAGGUACCAAAAGAUGACAGGUGGAUAAAGAUCCCUGCCCGCACUUGAUGGCUACCAGACAGGGUAGUUGUGAGGAAGGCAUGGGUAAACAUUGGCCCAAUAAAUGCCGGCUGUUACGUA